GGGACACGUGGUAUCCUGUCUGAAUAUGGGGGGACCAUCCUCCAAGGCUAAAUACUCCUGACUGACCGAUAGUGAACCAGUACCGUGAGGGAAAGGCGAAAAGAACCCCGGCGAGGGGAGUGAAAAAGAACCUGAAACCGUGUACGUACAAGCAGUGGGAGCACCUUCGGGUGUGACUGCGUACCUUUUGUAUAAUGGGUCAGCGACUUAUAUUCUGUAGCAAGGUUAACCGUAUAGGGGAGCCGCAGGGAAACCGAGUCUUAACUGGGCGUUAAGUUGCAGGGUAUAGACCCGAAACCCGGUGAUCUAGCCAUGGGCAGGUUGAAGGUUGGGUAACACUAACUGGAGGACCGAACCGACUAAUGUUGAAAAAUUAG
rnacentral:rRNA from 1 species